GCUGCUCUGGGGACAAUGAGUGACGGAGGUUAUGGUCAGAACUUUCCGUGGGAGCAAUCUCUCUGGAGUGGCUACUGUCCCCAGUUAUUUAACCAAAUGCCAACCUAGUUCAUGCUCUGAGGGGAGGAGGGAGUCAUCAUUCAACUCAUGUCAUGCAGUUUUCAGUUUCGGUCAAUUUCCUAAUGACUCUGCAAUCGUAAAAAGAAUGGAAUCUGAUAUUUGUGACUUAAUCGACCUAAAUUUAACUUCAUUCUGUUCUUCACAAUUGCAAAUUCUUCCCUGUUCUUCCACGGGUCCUGGCUCACUUCACCACUGUCAUAGCAUGACUAUACUCUGCAGUCUUCGCAUGUCUCUUGGGAUCUUGUGAUCCCUUUGUGUCCUGCUGCUACCGCCACCCAGGCCUCCCCCGAUGAGGAUGAACAGGGGCUGGCAUCUCCUUCCAUCACAGCCCUGCCCUACUUCCCUCCACAACUGUCCAGUGAGUCAGUGUACGUUGAAUACUACCUCUCCUCCUUCAUCCUAUCUUCUUCUCCAAUGAAGUUACAGCGUCAAGAAUUGUUAGUAAGUUAAAUAUUCAGAAAAUAUCUGGAGUGCCUUGAGGAUCACUUCUACUUGUUGAUGUGCUUAAAUGAAAUUCAAAUACAAUUUCAAAGUCUUCAAAGUCAAAUACUACUUCAAAGAAUAAUAUAGAAUAUUACUAUAGAUUUUUUGGAGGGGAUUGGCACAGUGCAUUCUAACAUGUAUCACUCCCUUUGAAGGAUGCUCAAAAAUCUUACUUCUUGUCCCCACCAUCUUGCAUUCCAUGACCCUUCAUCUCCUCUCUUCUUUCUUUCCCUUCCUCUUUCUCCAUGUAGGGUGGUAUCCUACAAUUUGGUAUUAAAAGUGUCCACUUAAUUUCACCAAGUACUGCUGUAAUUGAUUCACUCACUUAUUCACCUGUUUGUUCAUUCAGCAAGAAUUGGUUGAAUUUUUACCAUGUGCCAAGCACUAUUACCCAGGUUCUGAAGAUGCAAGACCACAUCUCCUUUUUCCAGGUUCAUCUGUGGAUGGACACUUGGGCCACUUCCAUGCUCUGGCUAUUGUAAAUAAUGCUGCAAUAAACAUAGAGUGCAUAUAUCUUUUUGAAUUAGU
rnacentral:lncRNA from 12 species